rnacentral:rRNA from 1 species
UACAGAGGUCUCAAGCGUUGUUCGGAUUCAUUGGGCGUAAAGGGUGCGUAGGCGGCGCGGUAAGUCGGGUGUGAAAUCUCGGAGCUUAACUCCGAAACUGCAUUCGAUACUGUCGUGCUUGAGGACUGGAGAGGAGACUGGAAUUUACGGUGUAGCGGUGAAAUGCGUAGAUAUCGUAAGGAAGACCAGUGGCGAAGGCGGGUCUCUGGACAGUUCCUGACGCUGAGGCACGAAGGCCAGGGGAGCAAACGGGG